UACGUAGGGUGCGAGCGUUAAUCGGAAUUACUGGGCGUAAAGUGUGCGCAGGCGGCGCCGCAAGUCGAGUGUGAAAGCCCCGGGCUUAAUUUGGGAAUUGCGCUCGAAACUAUGGUGCUGGAGUGUGGCAGAGGAAGGUGGAAUUCCACGUGUAGCGGUGAAAUGCGUAGAGAUGUGGAGGAACACCGAUGGCGAAGGCAGCCUUCUGGGCCAACACUGACGCUCAUGCACGAAAGCGUGGGGAGCAAACAGG
rnacentral:rRNA from 1 species